AUACGGAGGGUGCAAGCGUUACUCGGAAUCACUGGGCGUAAAGCGUGCGCAGGCGGUCUUUUAAGUUGGAUGUGAAAGCCUACGGCUCAACCGUAGAACUGCAUCCAAAACUAUUAGACUAGAGUGUGGGAGAGGAAGAUGGAAUUAGUUGUGUAGGGGUAAAAUCCGUAGAGAUAACUAGGAAUACCAAAAGCGAAGGCAAUCUUCUGGAACACUACUGACGCUGAGGCGCGAAGGCGUGGGGAGCAAACAGGAUUAGAAACCCCAGUAGUCC
rnacentral:rRNA from 1 species